rnacentral:rRNA from 1 species
GAAAGAUGAGCAUGCGUCCCAUUAGCUAGUUGGUAAGGUAACGGCUUACCAAGGCAACGAUGGGUAGGGGUCCUGAGAGGGGAGAUCCCCCAACACUGGUACUGAGACACGGACCCAGACUCCUACGGGAGGCAGCAGUGAGGAAAUAUUGGUCAAUGGGCGCAAGCCUGAACCAGCCAUGCCGCGUGCAGGAUGACGGUCCUAUGGAUUGUAAACUGCUUUUGCACAGGAAGAAACACUGAUUCGUGAAUCAGCUUGACGGUACUGUGAGAAUAAGGAUCGGCUAACUCCGUGCCAGCAGCCGCGGUAAUACGGAGGAUCCAAGCGUUAUCCGGAAUCAUUGGGUUUAAAGGGUCCGUAGGCGGUCUGGUAAGUCAGUGGUGAAAGCCCAUCGCUCAACGGUGGAACGGCCAUUGAUACUGCUGGACUUGAAUUAUUAGGAAGUAACUAGAAUAUGUAGUGUAGCGGUGAAAUGCUUAGAGAUUACAUGGAAUACCAAUUGCGAAGGCAGGUUACUACUAAUGGAUUGACGCUGAUGGACGAAAGCGUGGGUAGCGAACAGGAUUAGAUACCCUGGUAGUCCACGCCGUAAACGAUGGAUACUAGCUGUUGGAAGCAAUUUCAGUGGCUAAGCGAAAGUGAUAAGUAUCCCACCU